GAUGAACGCUGGCGGCGUGCCUAAUACAUGCAAGUCGAGCGAACAGACGAGGAGCUUGCUCCUCUGACGUUGGCGGCGGACGGGUGAGUAACACGUGGAUAACCUACCUAUAAGACUGGGAUAACUUCGGGAAACCGGAGCUAAUACCGGAUAAUAUAUUGAACCGCAUGGUUCAAUAGUGAAAGACGGUUUUGCUGUCACUUAUAGAUGGAUCCGCGCCGCAUUAGCUAGUUGGUAAGGUAACGGCUUACCAAGGCGACGAUGCGUAGCCGACCUGAGAGGGUGAUCGGCCACACUGGAACUGAGACACGGUCCAGACUCCUACGGGAGGCAGCAGUAGGGAAUCUUCCGCAAUGGGCGAAAGCCUGACGGAGCAACGCUGCGUGAGUGAUGAAGGUCUUCGAAUCGUAAAACUCUGUUAUUAGGGAAGAACAAAUGUGUAAGUAACUAUGCACGUCUUGACGGUACCUAAUCAGAAAGCCACGGCUAACUACGUG
rnacentral:rRNA from 1 species